AGCGUACACGGUGGAUGCCCUGGCAGUCAGAGGCGAUGAAGGACGUGCUAAUCUGCGAUAAGCGUCGGUAAGGUGAUAUGAACCGUUAUAACCGGCGAUUUCCGAAUGGGGAAACCCAGUGUGAUUCGUCACACUAUCAUUAACUGAAUCCAUAGGUUAAUGAGGCGAACCGGGGGAACUGAAACAUCUAAGUACCCCGAGGAAAAGAAAUCAACCGAGAUUCCCCCAGUAGCGGCGAGCGAACGGGGAGCAGCCCAGAGCCUGAAUCAGUGUGUGUGUUAGUGGAAGCGUCUGGAAAGACGUGCGAUACAGGGUGACAGCCCCGUACACAAAAAUGCACAUACUGUGAGCUCGAUGAGUAGGGCGGGACACGUGGUAUCCUGUCUGAAUAUGGGGGGACCAUCCUCCAAGGCUAAAUACUCCUGACUGACCGAUAGUGAACCAGUACCGUGAGGGAAAGGCGAAAAGAACCCCGGCGAGGGGAGUGAAAAAGAACCUGAAACCGUGUACGUACAAGCAGUGGGAGCACAGAGCAAUCUGUGUGACUGCGUACCUUUUGUAUAAUGGGUCAGCGACUUAUAUUCUGUAGCAAGGUUAACCGAAUAGGGGAGCCGAAGGGAAACCGAGUCUUAACUGGGCGUUAAGUUGCAGGGUAUAGACCCGAAACCCGGUGAUCUAGCCAUGGGCAGGUUGAAGGUUGGGUAACACUAACUGGAGGACCGAACCGACUAAUGUUGAAAAAUUAGCGGAUGACUUGUGGCUGGGGGUGAAAGGCCAAUCAAACCGGGAGAUAGCUGGUUCUCCCCGAAAGCUAUUUAGGUAGCGCCUCGUGAAUUCAUCUCCGGGGGUAGAGCACUGUUUCGGCAAGGGGGUCAUCCCGACUUACCAACCCGAUGCAAACUGCGAAUACCGGAGAAUGUUAUCACGGGAGACACACGGCGGGUGCUAACGUCCGUCGUGAAGAGGGAAACAACCCAGACCGCCAGCUAAGGUCCCAAAGUCAUGGUUAAGUGGGAAACGAUGUGGGAAGGCCCAGACAGCCAGGAUGUUGGCUUAGAAGCAGCCAUCAUUUAAAGAAAGCGUAAUAGCUCACUGGUCGAGUCGGCCUGCGCGGAAGAUGUAACGGGGCUAAACCAUGCACCGAAGCUGCGGCAGCGACGCUUAUGCGUUGUUGGGUAGGGGAGCGUUCUGUAAGCCUGUGAAGGUGUACUGUGAGGUAUGCUGGAGGUAUCAGAAGUGCGAAUGCUGACAUAAGUAACGAUAAAGCGGGUGAAAAGCCCGCUCGCCGGAAGACCAAGGGUUCCUGUCCAACGUUAAUCGGGGCAGGGUGAGUCGACCCCUAAGGCGAGGCCGAAAGGCGUAGUCGAUGGGAAACAGGUUAAUAUUCCUGUACUUGGUGUUACUGCGAAGGGGGGACGGAGAAGGCUAUGUUGGCCGGGCGACGGUUGUCCCGGUUUAAGCGUGUAGGCUGGUUUUCCAGGCAAAUCCGGAAAAUCAAGGCUGAGGCGUGAUGACGAGGCACUACGGUGCUGAAGCAACAAAUGCCCUGCUUCCAGGAAAAGCCUCUAAGCAUCAGGUAACAUCAAAUCGUACCCCAAACCGACACAGGUGGUCAGGUAGAGAAUACCAAGGCGCUUGAGAGAACUCGGGUGAAGGAACUAGGCAAAAUGGUGCCGUAACUUCGGGAGAAGGCACGCUGAUAUGUAGGUGAAGUCCCUCGCGGAUGGAGCUGAAAUCAGUCGAAGAUACCAGCUGGCUGCAACUGUUUAUUAAAAACACAGCACUGUGCAAACACGAAAGUGGACGUAUACGGUGUGACGCCUGCCCGGUGCCGGAAGGUUAAUUGAUGGGGUUAGCGCAAGCGAAGCUCUUGAUCGAAGCCCCGGUAAACGGCGGCCGUAACUAUAACGGUCCUAAGGUAGCGAAAUUCCUUGUCGGGUAAGUUCCGACCUGCACGAAUGGCGUAAUGAUGGCCAGGCUGUCUCCACCCGAGACUCAGUGAAAUUGAACUCGCUGUGAAGAUGCAGUGUACCCGCGGCAAGACGGAAAGACCCCGUGAACCUUUACUAUAGCUUGACACUGAACAUUGAGCCUUGAUGUGUAGGAUAGGUGGGAGGCUUUGAAGUGUGGACGCCAGUCUGCAUGGAGCCGACCUUGAAAUACCACCCUUUAAUGUUUGAUGUUCUAACGUUGACCCGUGAUCCGGGUUGCGGACAGUGUCUGGUGGGUAGUUUGACUGGGGCGGUCUCCUCCUAAAGAGUAACGGAGGAGCACGAAGGUUGGCUAAUCCUGGUCGGACAUCAGGAGGUUAGUGCAAUGGCAUAAGCCAGCUUGACUGCGAGCGUGACGGCGCGAGCAGGUGCGAAAGCAGGUCAUAGUGAUCCGGUGGUUCUGAAUGGAAGGGCCAUCGCUCAACGGAUAAAAGGUACUCCGGGGAUAACAGGCUGAUACCGCCCAAGAGUUCAUAUCGACGGCGGUGUUUGGCACCUCGAUGUCGGCUCAUCACAUCCUGGGGCUGAAGUAGGUCCCAAGGGUAUGGCUGUUCGCCAUUUAAAGUGGUACGCGAGCUGGGUUUAGAACGUCGUGAGACAGUUCGGUCCCUAUCUGCCGUGGGCGCUGGAGAACUGAGGGGGGCUGCUCCUAGUACGAGAGGACCGGAGUGGACGCAUCACUGGUGUUCGGGUUGUCAUGCCAAUGGCACUGCCCGGUAGCUAAAUGCGGAAGAGAUAAGUGCUGAAAGCAUCUAAGCACGAAACUUGCCCCGAGAUGAGUUCUCCCUGACUCCUUGA
rnacentral:rRNA from 1 species